rnacentral:rRNA from 1 species
UACGAAGGGAGCUAGCGUUACUCGGAAUUAUUGGGCGUAAAGCGUGCGCAGGCGGCUUUGUAAGUCAGAAGUGAAAGCCUGAGGCUCAACCUCAGAAUUGCUUUUGAAACUACAUCGCUAGAGUAUCAGAGGGGAUAGCGGAAUUCCUAGUGUAGAAGUGAAAUUCGUAGAUAUUAGGAGGAACACCGGUGGCGAAGGCGGCUAUCUGGCUGAAUACUGACGCUGUUGCACGAAAGCGUGGGGAGCAAACAGG